rnacentral:rRNA from 1 species
AUUGAACGCUGGCGGCAGGCCUAACACAUGCAAGUCGAGCGGACGAAGGGAGAGUGCGCCUGGAUUCAGCGGCGGACGGGCGAGUAAGGCCUAGGAAGCUGCCUGGUAGAGGGGGAUAACGUAAGGUAACGGGAGCUAAUACCGCAUAGGACCUGAGGGAGAAAGGGGGGGAUCUUCGGAGAUCGCGCGAUCAGAUGAGCCUAGGACGGAUUAGCUAGUUGGUUGGGUAAAGGCCUACCAAGGCGACGAUCCGUAACUGGUCUGAGAGGAUGAUCAGUCACACUGGAACUGAGACACGGUCCAGACUCCUACGGGAGGCAGCAGUAGGGAAUAUUGCGCAAUGGGCGAAAGCCUGAUCCAGCCAUGCCGCGUGUGUGAAGAAGGUCUUCGGAUUGUAAAGCACUGUUAGUUGGGAAGAAGGGCCGUGUGUUAAUCCCUUGCUGUUUUGACGUUACCUACAGAGUAAGCACCGGCUAACUUCGUG